rnacentral:rRNA from 1 species
AGUGAACGCUGGCAGUAGGCCUAACACAUGCAAGUCGAACGGCAGCACAGUAAGAGCUUGCUCUUACGGGUGGCGAGUGGCGGACGGGUGAGGAAUACAUCGGAAUCUACUUUUUCGUGGGGGAUAACGUAGGGAAACUUACGCUAAUACCGCAUACGACCUACGGGUGAAAGCAGGGGAUCUUCGGACCUUGCGCGAUUGAAUGAGCCGAUGUCGGAUUAGCUAGUUGGCGGGGUAAAGGCCCACCAAGGCGACGAUCCGUAGCUGGUCUGAGAGGAUGAUCAGCCACACUGGAACUGAGACACGGUCCAGACUCCUACGGGAGGCAGCAGUGGGGAAUAUUGGACAAUGGGCGCAAGCCUGAUCCAGCCAUACCGCGUGGGUGAAGAAGGCCUUCGGGUUGUAAAGCCCUUUUGUUGGGAAAGAAAAGCAGCAGGUUAAUACCCCGCUGUUCUGACGGUACCCAAAGGAUAAGCACCGGCUAACUUCGUG